rnacentral:lncRNA from 1 species
UUUUGUAGGGCAAGAAUACUUACAAUACGUGACUUUGGCUCCUUAAUUUUCUUCUCAUUUCUUCCAGUUUUCAUUUGAAAACAAAACAGUAUUUAUCAUCUGAGAAAUAUCAGAAAAUUUCUAAACAUAACUGUUUGGAUGAGAUUUUACAGGAUUUUCAGGAUUAUGACCUGACCUUGAAAACCCUCCAGACGUGGCUGCUGCUGCUGCUUGUUUCUGAUCACAGCAAUGGACAUCCCAGCAUUGCUCUGCAGGAUGACAGAACAGUAGUUUCAGUGUAAUGGUUUCAACGAAACGAAACCAGCUUCAGCUGCUUAGCACAAGAGCUCGGUGAUGUAAGUUCCCGCAGUAAUUAGCUUGUUCGUCUCCUCUUCCAGCUUCAUGAGUCAGCUGCACGGAUCAAGAAGGAGUGAAAAAAAAAUCCCACAAAAGACUUCUAUAAAGAUUCACAACGAUUAUUUUGCAAUGACUAGAAGCUACCAGGGAUGCUAUAAUUGUAACACUUUGCAGGGUGUAUAAUAGUGUGACCUUUAUAUAAGGAGCAUUGCACUAUGAUCUUUCCAAGCACAGAGGAGAAACAGUGAACAAAGGACUGCUCAGACUUCUGAGACUUCUCCGUUUCUAACUUAUGAUUACCUCAUCCAUUUACACUAGGUGCAGUUUUUUAUAUGAGACUUUUUGUAUCUCUAUGUGUACCCUGGCAAGGAAGGAUCUCCUGUCAACAUUUUCUGAGUCCCAGCACUUGGACCUGAGCUUUGGAGUUCCUGCCAACCUUAUGCAAACCAGAACUGUAUGAAUAAAUUGCUACAUAAUAAAUAAAUUACUAUUUUUUUCCA